GACAGAGGUGCCGAGCGUAGGCGGAAUCACUGGGCUUAAAGCGUGUGUAGGCGGACCCGUUCAGUGUCUUGUGAAAUCCCACGGCUCAACCGUGGAACGGCUGGGCAUACUGCGGGUCUGAGACACCUAGGGGCGAGCGGAACAGGCGGUGGAGCGGUGAAAUGCGUAGAUAUCGCCUGGAACGCCGACGGUGAAAACAGCUCGCUGGGG
rnacentral:rRNA from 1 species